rnacentral:rRNA from 1 species
AUCAGGGGCUCGACCACGGUCCACACCUCCCGGGCGAGGUCCGGGCGGCGCCUCCUGCUCAUCUCGGCGCACCGCAGGCCGAGGUGCGCGAGCUGGUUGGCCUGCACGAACGGCCAGGCCCCCGCGGAGGGGUCGAGGACGGUGUGCAGCUCACCCUUCUCCACCGCGUCCUCCACCACCUCGGCGAUCUUCUGGGGCCGCCUGCCCGUCAGGAGCUGCAGGAUGAUGAUGCCCAAGGAGUAGACGUCGGAGCGUGGCGUCAGCUCGCCGGACGACAGGAACUCCGGGUCCAUGUAUGCGAAGGUCCCCCUCGGGGUGGUCGUCCGGUACAGCGUGGUGGCGGCGGUGGAGGUGCCGGACUGCGUCAGGAGGCGGCAGAUGCCGAAGUCCCCCAGCUUGCUCACCAGGUUGGCGUCCAGGAGGAUGUUGGCCGGCUUCAGGUCCCCGUGGACCACCGGGUGCGGCUUGUUCGAGUGCAGGAACGUCAGGGCCGAGCACAUCUCGUAG